AUACGUAGGGUGCGAGCGUUGUCCGGAAUUACUGGGCGUAAAGAGCUCGUAGGUGGUUUGUCGCGUCGUCUGUGAAAUUCCGGGGCUUAACUCCGGGCGUGCAGGCGAUACGGGCAUAACUUGAGUACUGUAGGGGAGACUGGAAUUCCUGGUGUAGCGGUGAAAUGCGCAGAUAUCAGGAGGAACACCGGGGGCGAAGGCGGGUCUCUGGGCAGUAACUGACGCUGAGGAGCGAAAGCAUGGGUAGCGAACAGGAUUAGAUACCCUGGUAGUCCAUGCCGUAAACGGUGGGCGCUAGGUGUAGGGGUCUUCCACGACUUCUGUGCCGUAGCUAACGCAUUAAGCGCCCCGCCUGGGGAGUACGGCCGCAAGGCUAAAACUCAAAUGAAUUGGCGGGG
rnacentral:rRNA from 1 species